rnacentral:tRNA from 1 species
UUGGUAGAGCGCCUGAUUUGGGAUCAGGAGGUCCAAGGUUCAAAUCCUUGUAUGGAGACUGGAGGCGUGGCAGA